rnacentral:rRNA from 2 species
CACGCCGUAAACGAUGAGUACUAAGUGUCGGAAGAAUCCGGUGCUGCAGUUAACGCAUUAAGUACUCCGCCUGAGUAGUACGUGCGCAAGCAUAAAACUCAAAGGAAUUGGCGGGACCUCGCACAAGCGGUGGAUCAUGUUGUUUAAUUCGACGAUACGCGAAGAACCUUACCAGGCCUUGACAUACCGAGCGAUGCUAUGGAAACAUAGUGGAGGUUAACUGGGAUACAGGUGG